UCUGGGAGAGCUCCAGCCACCAGGAAGGCAGAGGUCUCGAAGGACACUAAUCCAAAACCACAUUCCCCAACCUCCCGGCCUGCCCUCAGUCACUAUUUAACCUCUUUGCUUCCCUCCCUCAUCCUCUCAGACGCUCACUGCUGGUCGACUGUUCUGACUAGAGAGCCCCAAAACAGCAGCACUUCUUGGAGAGCAAAGGACACUGAAGAAGGGCCAAGGUCACCCCCUUGGUCUCACCCCGUCUCUGCAUCCUUCCUGGACCCCUUCCAUCCUCCCUGGGAACCACCUGGUCGGGGGAUUCGAGAUGCCUUUCUCAAGACCUGCAUUUUAAAAGGACAUCCAGCUGAAAAAAUAAAUUACUGACGAGGAGCUGCCCCGCUUUGGUCGCGGAUCCCACUUACCUGGGACUAACCCCGCUUUGGUCGCGGAUCCCACUUACCUGGGACUAACCGGUGCACCACCCCUGACUGCUGAAAGUUCUGGUUCCCUGGUUUCGGCACUACUUGUCGCGACCCCUUGCCCGCAAGGAAGACGCAACUCAGGAAUCUUCUUUCAGCAGUUUAUUCAGGCCCUUGAUAUUUCUUCUUCUCCUUCUCGGAUGCCCCUCCCAGCCUUAAUAAAGCAUCCCAAGCCCCAAUGCAAAGCUGCCACGUGGAGCUUUCUCAUAGGGUGGUGAAAAACCAUGCGCCAACUCUCCCAAAUAAGGAGUUGUUUGUCACAGACCACAGCAGAGCCAGCGCCAUCUUGUAAUGGCGACCAUAGUCUGCAGAAACGGCAGAAGCGGCUCACCACAAAAUAUUACCAUAAUAUUUGUGCACAUUGCUUGUUUGGGUUUUUAUUUAACAAUAUGUCUUGUUGAGUCUUAGAUAUACAUUUAGAUAAAGUACACAUAAGGCUUAUCUGAUUGUUUUUACAGCUUCACAGUAGUUCAUCAUCAGGGUACACCACACUUUGUUGAACACUGUCAAUGGACCCUGAUGCCACCCCCCCACCCCAUGUUGUAGCAUUUAUCAGAAUUUCUUUCCUUUUUAAGGCUGAAUAAUAUUCUACGUUAACAGAAGUAACAGAGUUUGAUAUUACAAGGAUGCUGCAAUGCUUGUGCUUGACCACAUGUAAAUUUCUCAUGCCUGUCAGUGUAUGUGGAGGAUAAUAAACCUUGCUAGAUGUUGCCAAACUCUUCUCUGUGAAGGCUGCACCAAUCGUAUGAGUGUGUGUGAGCAUUGUGAGUGAUCAUUCCCCCAAACACAAUAUUUUUGUUUUGCUCCAAUAAAUGCACUGUUGAACUGUU